rnacentral:lncRNA from 10 species
GUUUAUUCACUUGGGUGCAAGUGGGCUGAGUACGAAAAGAGAGUCAGCGAAGGGAGAUGGGGAAGGGGUUGCUUUGUAAGAGUUGGGUAGGAAAAUUACAGUAAAAUGUGGUUAUCUAUUGUUAGCAGAGGAGGGGGUUACAAGGUACAUGGUGGGGAGAUCAUAAUGAGAGACAGGACUAACUGGAUUUCCUAGGUGGACUAAGAAUUCCUAAGCCUAACUGGGGAAGGUGACCACACCACCUUUAAACAUGGGGCUUGUAACUCAGCUCACACCUGACCAAUCUGGUAGUAAAGAGGGCUCACUAAAAUACCAAUUAGGCUAAAAGCAGGAGGUAAAGAAAUAGUCAAAUCAUCUAUCACCUGAGAGCACAGGGGGAGGGACAAUGAUAGGGAUAUAAAACCCAGACAUUCAAGCUGGGAGUGGGCAACCCCCUUUGGAUCCCCUCCCAUUGUAUGGGAGCUCUGUUUUCACUCUGUUAAAUCUUCCAACUGCACACUCUUCCGGUCCGUGUUUGUUCCGGCUCGAGCUGAGCUUUCGCUCGCCGUCGACCACUGCUGAAUGACACCGUCACAGACCCGCCACUGACUUCCAUCCCUCUGAAUCCGCCAGGGUGUCUGCUGUGUUUCUGAUCCAGGGAGGCACCCGCUGCUGCUCCUGAUGGGCUAGAGGCUCGCCAUUGUUCCUGCUAGGCUAAGUGCCUGGGUUCGUCCUAAUCGAGCUCAACACUAGUUGCUGGGUUCCACGGCUCUCUUCCAUGACCCGCGGCUUCAAAUAGAGCUAGAACACUCACCGCAUGGCCGACGGUUCCAUUCCUUGGAAUCCAUGAGGCCAAGAACCCCAGGUCAGAGACCAAAGGCUUGCCGCCAUCUUGGGAGCAGCCUGCCACCAUCCUGGGAGCUCCAAGAACAAAGAUCCACCUGUAACAAUAAGAUUUAUUGUCCAGAAGAAGAAUGUCACAAGGUCGAUUGAUCAGGUAAGGUAGGGCAGGGACAGUCACAGUGGUGGAAUGUUGUAAUGUUGGUUAAUCAGUUAAGGCAGGAACUGACUGUUUUACUUCUUUUGUGGUUUUUC